rnacentral:rRNA from 1 species
UAAAAUAAUUAAGGGCACACAAAGGAUGCCUAGGUAGUAAGAGCCGAUGAAGGACGUGGUAAGCUGCGAUAAGCCUAGAUAAGUUGCAAUCGAACGUAAGAGUCUAGGAUUUCCGAAUGGAGCAAUCUAUUAAGAUGGAGUCUUAAUACGAAAGAGGGAACCGCGUGAACUGAAACAUCUAAGUAACGCGAGGAAAAGAAAGUAAAAACGAUACCCAAAGUAGCGGCGAGCGAAAUGGGUCAAGCCUAAACCUUAAAUAUGUCAAGGAUACAGCCGUUGUAUUUAAGGGGUUGAGGGACUAAGUUGUGAAGAACUGUAAGAUAUUCAAUAUAGUGUAUUGAUGAAUUAGAAUUGUAUGGAAAGAUAAACCGUAGAAGGUGAGAGUCCUGUAUAAGUAAAUCCUUACACAUAUAACUUUGCUCCCAAGUAACAUGGAACACGAGGAAUUCUGUGUGAAUCAGUGAGGACCAUAUCUCAUAAGGCUAAAUACUCUUACUAACCGAUAGCGCAUAGUACCGUGAGGGAAAGGUGAAAAGAACCCCUGGAGGGGAGUGAAAUAGAACCUGAAAUUGUGUGCUUACAAGCGGUCAAAGCCCAUUUGGGUGAUGGCGUGCCUUUUGGAGAAUGAUCCUGCGAGUUACGUUAAACGGCGAGGUUAAGUAUAACGGAGCCGAAGGGAAACCAAGUCUUAAUAGGGCGAUUUAGUCGUUUGGCGUAGACGCGAAACCUGGUGAUCUAAACCUGUCCAGGAUGAAGCUGUGGUAAGACACAGUGGAGGUCCUAACCCACCGCCGUUGAAAAGUUGGGGGAUGAGGUAGGUUUAGGGGUGAAAAGCCAAUCGAACCAGGAGAUAGCUCGUUCUCUCCGAAAUGCAUCUAGGUGCAGCCUUGAGUGUUCAAUUAUGGGGGUAGAGCACUGAAUGAUCUAGGGGGCAUAUUGCUUACUGAAAUCAAUCAAACUCCGAAUACCAUAAUUUAUAGCUCAGGAGUGAGACUAUGGGAGUUAACUUCCAUUGUCAAAAGGGAAACAACCCAGACCACCAGCUAAGGUCCCUAAUUAUAACUAAGUGGGAAAGGAGGUGGAGAUUCACAAACAACUAGGAGGUUGGCUUAGAAGCAGCCAUACCUUUAAAGAGUGCGUAAUAGCUCACUAGUCGAGAGUCUCUGCGCCGACAAUGUAACGGGGCUAAGUUAUAAACCGAAGCUGUGGAAUCCUUAUGGAUUGGUAGGAGAGCGUUCUGUAGGCCGUUGAAGAAGAAGGGUAACCAACUUUGGAGGUAUCAGAAGUGAGAAUGCAGGAAUAAGUAGCGAGAAAGGGGGCGAGAAUCCCCCUCGCCGGAAGACCAAGGUUUUCAGGGUAAAGCUUGUCUUCCCUGAGUAAGCCGGGACCUAAGCCCAGGCUAUAAUGCGUAGGCGAAUGGAAAACAGAUUAAUAUUUCUGUGCCAGUCAUUUAUUGUGAUGGAGGGACGCAGAAGGGUAUGUGCGCGGACGAUCGGUUGUGUCCGUAGAAGUAUGUAGGGUGACUUAGUAGGAAAAUCCAUUAAGUUAUAUCUGAGGUAUGAUAUACAGUCGUAAGAUGAAUGUGCAAAUCCCACGCUGCCAAGAAAAGCUUCUAACGUUAAUAUAUGACUGCCCGUACUGUAAACCGACACAGGUGGUCAGGAUGAGAAAUCUAAGGCGGACAGGCUAACUCUCGUUAAGGAACUCUGCAAAAUAACCUCGUAACUUCGGGAGAAGAGGAGCCCUUGUGUGUGAGUAUACAUGCGAUACAAAGCGCACGAGGGUCGCAGUGAAGAGGCUCAAGCAACUGUUUAACAAAAACACAGGUCUAUGCUAAGCUGUAAGGCGAUGUAUAUGGGCUGACACCUGCCCAGUGCUGGAAGGUUAAGAGGAGGAGUGAGAGCUCCGAAUUGAAGCCCCAGUGAACGGCGGCCGUAACUAUAACGGUCCUAAGGUAGCGAAAUUCCUUGUCGGGU